CAUAGCGACUAUCGUGGCAUAUCAAUAAGCGGAGGAAAAGAAACUAACAAGGAUUCCCCUAGUAACGGCGAGUGAAGCGGGAAGAGCUCAAAUUUGAAAUCUUAAAGGGUUUCCCUUUACGAAUUGUAGUUUAAAGAAGUGUUUUCUGUUGGAGUUUCGGUAAAAGUUCUUUGGAAUAGGACAUCAUAGAGGGUGAGAAUCCCGUAUUUGACCGUUACUUUCCAGCUGUGUGAUACACUUUCAAAGAGUCGGAUUGUUUGGGAAUGCAGUCCAAAAUGGGUGGUAAAUUUCAUCUAAAGCUAAAUAUUGGCGAGAGACCGAUAGCGAACAAGUACCGUGAGGGAAAGAUGUAAAGAACUUUGAAAAGAGAGUUAAACAGUACGUGAAAUUGUCAAAAGGGAAGCGUUUGACACCAGUGUUGUUUAGUUGAAAAUCAAUUCAAUAACUUUUGAUUUUGAGUAGUAUUGACUUCAUCAGCUUGCUGCUUUCUUUUCCGAAAUUAUUGAAUGCACUUUUCAGUUAACAAGUCAACAUCAAUUUCUUUUGUUGUAAAAGGGUAAGAGGAAGGUGGCUUACGCUUCGGCGUAAGUGUUUAUAGCCUUUUACCUCUGCGAUCGGAGAGAUUGAGGACAGCAGCGUAGACUCUUCGGGGUUAGAUACACUUGUGCUAAGCUAUAGCUUUUUAUAGACAACUUGUUGACUAUAUUUAGUCUUGUGGCUUACUCGCUUAUGCUAUUUUACCUACGCUUAGGAUGUUGAUAGUCACAGCUGUAC
rnacentral:rRNA from 1 species